CCCGGCGACACUCGGGGCUCU
rnacentral:miRNA from 1 species